AUCUCAGAUGCAUGAUUUAUGUGUUUGUUUGAUUCAUGGGAGGCAUACAUCAAUGAUGGGACUUUCCUGAUGGCACUCUUUGUUUUCUAGGGCUCACCAUUCAUUC